GCAUGUGCAGCCUCCUUGCUUAUUGUGGUUGUUAGGCACAAGAACUAGAUUUUGGUGUUGUUGGGUCAUGGAUUUGCAAAUCUAGGAUAAAAUCAGUGUGAUAGCAAUUCUUGGAAGAGUAUGGUAUCUCAUUAGAUUGGCCGAAGUUUGUCACUCAUAAGACACAAGUGAGUCAUCGAUGAUCCCUUCUUCCUCCUCCCUCAACUGCUAGCUUAUUUGAUAUGCUCCUCUCUCUUUCUCUUGUCAGUGACUUUUGAUUUUAUGGUGAUGUUCUUUUAUGAAGAAGAUUGCUCUAUGCAAGUUCUAUGAACUUCAAACCACGUAUAUCAGUUGCUCCUUUUUAUGUGCUUUCAUGGCAAUUUCAGCAUCUUCCAAACAACCAAGGCGACUCAGGUUUUGUUAGCAGUCGGUAGUUGUGUAUUUUGUAUGUGAAGUUUUAUAGUUAAACUCUGAGCCUUAUAUCUAUUCCCAAUUCAAUGAAUUUAUAUUAUGUCUGGUAAAAAGAAAAAAGAUAAGUGCGAUCUAAUCGAGGUGGUGAGGUUGAAAAAUC
rnacentral:lncRNA from 1 species